CGGCACCUGCUGGAGUGCAAUUG
rnacentral:miRNA from 11 species